UAUGUUGUGGUUUCAAAUAAAUCUUGUUGUACUACUGGCCAGUUUUCAUCCAUCAUAUUUGGUGGUUAUCCCCACAAACCUCAGCUGUGACUCUUACGAUGCAAUAUUAAAAGGCUUAGAAAAGGCUUUGGCUAUUGUACCAUCUGAACUUCUAGAGGACUUGAAGACAAGCAAAGAAAUUCUGAUUCUUUCACUACCAAAAGGUUGUCCUCAGAAAAAUACUCCCUUACCAAUAGGCUCUAAAUAUGUCACUACUGCAACUACAUCUUCAAUGUCAACCACUCAGCUACCAACUAAGGCCUCCACAGGUCCAGCAGUGUCAGGC